rnacentral:rRNA from 1 species
AUUGAACGCUGGCGGCAGGCCUAACACAUGCAAGUCGAGCGGAUGAAGGGAGCUUGCUCCUGGAUUCAGCGGCGGACGGGUGAGUAAUGCCUAGGAAGCUGCCUGGUAGUGGGGGAUAACGUCCGGAAACGGGCCCUAAUACCGCAUACGUCCUGAGGGAGAAAGUGGGGGAUCUUCGGACAUCACGCUAUCAGAUGAGCCUAGGUCGGAUUACCUAGUUGGUGGGGUAAAGGCCUACCAAGGCGACGAUCCGUAACUGGUCUGAGAGGAUGAUCAGUCACACUGGAACUGAGACACGGUCCAGACUCCUACGGGAGGAAGCAGUGGGGAAUCUUGGACAAUGGGCGAAAGCCUGAUCCAGCCAUGCCGCGUGUGUGAAGAAGGUCUUCGGAUUGUAAAGCACUUUAAGUUGGGAGGAAGGGCAGUAAGUUAAUACCUUGCUGUUUUGACGUUACCAACAGAAUAAGCACCGGCUAACUUCGUG